CCCUCGUAGUAGUAAGUGCACAGGAGGAGUGAAAUCUUAAAAAUGUGCAUUGACAAGUCUCUUCUUUUAUGUUCUUCUAGCGGACUUACAAAUGACUCGCCCCCUUUAUCUCAUCUCGUUUUAAAGCUCAAGAUGUCAAUUGUGAGUCGUAGAUAGAAAGUUGUCACGACAAAGCGGCGAAAACAAAAGUGCCUUUCUUCGUUUUGUCUUCUUUGGGAUUAACUUCUCAAUUUGGAGCAAGUCUAUCUGUUUGUGGUGUGAUGUCAGCUCUUUCCAGCGCUCCUCUCAAAUUGGUGGUAUAGUGGUAACAAAGUUAAGAAAAUGAUUUAUUUCGUGCAAUUUGUCUCAAUUCCUUCCCCGUGGUUGGCCCCUUACUGUCCGGGCAAACCUGGCCAAUCUCUGUUCAAGCCACGACUCCCCUGGUCGACUUGGAUCUGAAACCCUUGAAACCUCGGACGAAAAGUAGGUCUUGUCACCUUCUUUUUCGAAAUGUUCUGGCAGAUGGUGGAUGAUGAAUCUAGAACGCCAAUUCAUGAAUCUAAUCCCGAAACCGUCAGAUUUGGAGGAGAAAAGAGUAAAUAAGUGCCACCUAAAAUGCAAUCAUCUCCAUCUUCUGCACUGAUCCUCAUCCAGGAUAGAGUUGCUCAUCAAACGAACAAGUCGAGGGAAGCGAAGGCCAUCCUUCCGUUUUUAUUUCGGAGGAAGUACCAAAGCUCACCAUGAGUGUGAACAACAGUCCGACCUCAUCAAUAUCCAACUACAUUUCCCACUUCCGAGUGAUUUGUCUGGUCUUAUGAUUAAACCACUCGAAAUGGAAACGA